UACGAGGGGGGCUAGCGUUGUUCGGAAUUACUGGGCGUAAAGGGCGCGUAGGCGGCCUGCUAAGUCGAACGUGAAAUCCCCGAGCUCAACUCGGGAACUGCGUCCGAUACUGGCAGGCUUGAAUCCGGGAGAGGGAUGCGGAAUUCCAGGUGUAGCGGUGAAAUGCGUAGAUAUCUGGAGGAACACCGGUGGCGAAGGCGGCAUCCUGGACCGGCAUUGACGCUGAGGCGCGAAAGCCAGGGGAGCAAACGGG
rnacentral:rRNA from 1 species